rnacentral:sRNA from 1 species
AAAUGUGUCAAAUUUCGCUGAGAAUAC